UAAUACGUAGGUGGCAAGCGUUGUCCGGAAUUAUUGGGCGUAAAGCGCGCGCAGGCGGCUUCUUAAGUCUGAUGUGAAAUCUCGGGGCUCAACCCCGAGCGGCCAUUGGAAACUGGGGAGCUUGAGUGCAGAAGAGGAGAGUGGAAUUCCACGUGUAGCGGUGAAAUGCGUAGAGAUGUGGAGGAACACCAGUGGCGAAGGCGACUCUCUGGUCUGUAACUGACGCUGAGGCGCGAAAGCGUGGGGAGCAAACAGGAUUAGAUACCCUGGUAGUCCACGCCGUAAACGAUGAGUGCUAGGUGUUAGGGGUUUCGAUGCCCGUAGUGCCGAAGUUAACACAUUAAGCACUCCGCCUGGGGAGUACGGCCGCAAGGCUGAA
rnacentral:rRNA from 1 species